GUGUGUUGGUGUAGUGGUUUGGGCAUUGGACUGGGAAUCUGAGAGACCAGGGUUCAAAUCCCUGUUCAGCCA